GUGCAGCAGGCGCGAAACCUCCGCAAUACACGAAAGUGUGACGGGGCCAUCCCGAGUGCCGUCCGCUGAGGACGGCUUUUCCCCAGUGUACACAGCUGGGGGAAUAAGGAGAGGGCAAGCCUGGUGUCAGCCGCCGCGGUAAUACCAGCUCUCCGAGUGGUGGGGACGCUUAUUGGGCCUAAAGCAUCCGUAGCCGGCUGGGCAAGUCCUCCGUUAGAUCCAACGAUUCAAUCGUUGGGCUGCGGGGGAUACUGUCCAGCUUGGGGGCAGGAGAGGCCGACGGUAUUCCCGGGGUAGGGGUGAAAUCCUAUAAUCCCGGGAGGACCACCAGUGGCGAAGGCUGUCGGCUAGAACGCGCCCGACGGUGAGGGAUGAAAGCUGGGGGAGCGAACCGGAUUAGAUACCCCUGUAGU
rnacentral:rRNA from 1 species